GCGGGAGUAACUCAGUGGUUAGAGUUCCUGCCUUCCAAGCAGGGUGUCGCGGGUUCGAAUCCCGUCUCCCGCUCCA
rnacentral:tRNA from 1 species